rnacentral:lncRNA from 1 species
GUCAAGAAGGUUGUUGGCCUUGGAGGCCGACACUAGCUGAUCAUCUACCUUCCAAUUAUAUUAGGCAUAUACCACUGAAACUGCAGGUCGCGCCCUCCUCCCACCGUAGGUGGUGCCCUCCUCCCGCAUAGCCUAUUGGUUGGUGUACCGUGACCCCUCCUCAUAUUUUUGGUAUGAAUUUGAUGAAUCUUCUUGAUGCUCUGUUCUUAUUCAUCUAGAGAUUCCUCCUCAUAUUGAUUGUUUGUAUUGCUCUGUUCUUGUCAUUUUGUAAAUUAGAAAACAGUAGUCAGUAUUUUUUUAUAAAAAAGUUUACCGCAUAAAAAAUGCAACAGUAGUUCAACACAAUAUCAAGGAGGGUGUGAGUUGGGUAUGGUUACAGACGAAAGAUAUGUGUUGAAAAGUUCACUUCGUCUACAUACGUAAGUUCAAAAAAUUGUCAUAGAGCUAGUUUAAAAAAUUGUCAAAAGGCAAAAUGGUUGUGCUAGUUCAAUUUUUUCAGUCCAUCUUCUGUAUGCUAUUCAGUACAUCUAAUUCCAAAUCGUAAGUACAAUUGCCUUUAUGUUUUCCAUCUUCAUAUAACACAAAAUAGGCACUGGAGGAUAAGGUGAGAAUAUAUACUAAUGAAAUGCUUGGUGGCGUUGUCCAUGUUUUGAAUUUAAACCACUAGCUUUUUUAUACACGAGCGCCUGUCCUGGGAGAGCCCUAUAUUGCCAUGAGCACUACUGCUACAAACUUUAAUCCCCCAUUGUCCGGCCCUAUAUUUUAUCCUCGGUUCUUAGAAAAGCAUGGAAACAAUUCUCUGUGUGUUAGAGUAUCAGUUCAUGUGGAGAAGAACAUGUUUCCUAUAUGAAAAAAAUAAUAUAUUAUUAUCAGUUCAAUAUGUAUUUUGUCAUUAGUUCAUACAGAACAACCGUAAAAAAUAUUUUGAUGUGUGUUAGAGAGAGAUCAACUUUAUAUUAUAUGGUAGCUCACUCAUUGCAUGAUUGCACAGCAGUUUGGCAUCAAAAUUCACAUCAGUUUAGGGGUGCCCGCAUCACGGUCUCACCGUGCUACCGCAAUCUCUCCUUGAUACGCCACCGGACGAGCCCCUCCUCACACUUUGGCAAGCUGUCACUUGCUCCUGUGCCUGGAUCCCAUGUGAGCGCUGAUGGUAGUCCUCUGUGUGCGUCAAUGGCACUUUCUCACAGCAAUCUCCCUCUCUUUCUUUGCUCCUGCUAUUAAAAUGCAUAGAUGUGGUAUUCUGCUAACUGAGUAGUUGGGAAGAUGUGAAAAGAACAUGCUCUUUAGGUGUUUGUGACUAUUCCUGUGAGCACCAAUGAAUUUAAAUUUUUAUUUUGUGCUUCCGUGUAUGUUUUUGGGCAGCACAAGUACAUCGUCAUAGUAAGUACAAAUGCGGUCUUAUGGAACUCUGAUAGUUGUUGGAUGCUAUUCCAAAUGCCAAUCAUGCAAAACGGUUGUUGCUAGAAUCUAGAUGAUAUUUAAUGUAGAUACCAUAGUUUCACCGUAUUUUUUGGUUCUAAAUAUUUCUGCAUACCUCUUUAAAAGAAUGUUCCGUUUGUGAUCAUUUCUUGUAGGUAUUCAUGUGGACUUUAAAUAAUGACUAUUCUUGUAUGAGGUUUGAAGAUUAUCGUGGAGCAAGUUCAAGAGAUUAGUUUCGUGAAAAUAAAUGUGAUCUUUUGGUCAGGAUUUUGCAUGAUCCAUAGCCAUCGAUGGCAACAGGAGGCGUCCUGCGUGAGUCGUCCAUCGUCUUCUAUGCGUGAGCUUGUUGUCUCUACACAUCUAGCAUCAGAGUAUCGCCUCCCCUUGCCACACACACAUGCGGUGUGGUCGAGCUAGUGUUGUUUGUGAUACUGCUCGUGACUCUUGCGUCGUCAUUGGACAAAGAAUUUGUUCUGUGACUAUGUAUUUGCAGGACCUUUAGCAAAUAUUGUUGUGUUCUGAGUAUUCUGAUGUGGGCCAAAUGGUGAGCAUUUAAACAUCAGUCUGAAUUAACAAAACUGAUAAGUUCUACUUUCAAUAAACUGAUGAACCUAGAUGCAACAAAGCUCUGCCAUUAGCCGUGGGGAUUAUCAGUUCAUGUGUAUUGUGUUCUUUUUGUCGGUUAAUGUAUUUCUUGUUUGUCAGGUCAUGUGCAAGUUUGUUAUCAGUUCAUGUGUAUGUGUAUUGGUGAUCUAUGCUAUUGCUGCUAGCUAUCGAUCAGACUGGUAUUACUUUGGCAGCUCCAUGUAAUUAGCCCCUUUGUUGGGUGAAUCUCCUACUACUUGCUAGCUUUGGAAUUGUAAAAACACAAUAAGUUCACAAUUUAAAAAGGUGUAAGUUCAACACGACGUCCUAGAUAAGUUUUAGGAAAAAGUUGAAACACAAAGAAAACCCAAAGAAAUUCAAAUGGUAACGUUCAAGUCGUGGGAUGAAAGAAGUCCAGAACAACGUUGAAAAUGUUAAGAGUUG